rnacentral:rRNA from 1 species
CCUACGGGCGGCAGCAGUGGGGAAUUUUGGACAAUGGGCGCAAGCCUGAUCCAGCAAUGCCGCGUGCAGGAAGAAGGCCUUCGGGUUGUAAACUGCUUUUGUCAGGGAAGAAAUCCUCUGGGUUAAUACCUCGGGGGGAUGACGGUACCUGAAGAAUAAGCACCGGCUAACUACGUGCCAGCAGCCGCGGUAAUACGUAGGGUGCGAGCGUUAAUCGGAAUUACUGGGCGUAAAGCGUGCGCAGGCGGUUGUGCAAGACAGGUGUGAAAUCCCCGGGCUUAACCUGGGAACUGCACUUGUGACUGCACGGCUAGAGUACGGUAGAGGGGGAUGGAAUUCCGCGUGUAGCAGUGAAAUGCGUAGAUAUGCGGAGGAACACCGAUGGCGAAGGCAAUCCCCUGGACCUGUACUGACGCUCAUGCACGAAAGCGUGGGGAGCAAACAGGAUUAGAUACCCCAGUAGUC